UACGUAGGGUGCGAGCGUUGUCCGGAUUUAUUGGGCGUAAAGAGCUCGUAGGCGGCUGUUCAAGUCGAACGUGAAAACUCGGAGCUCAACUCCGAGCCUGCGUUCGAUACUGGGCGGCUUGAAUCCGGGAGAGGGAUGCGGAAUUCCAGGUGUAGCGGUGAAAUGCGUAGAUAUCAGGAGGAACACCGGUGGCGAAGGCGGUUCUCUGGGCAUGUCCUGACGCUGAGGAGCGAAAGUGUGGGGAGCGAACGGG
rnacentral:rRNA from 1 species